CCACGUCUGGGGUACACUAGAGUCCCAGUGGUGCACCAGGUGGCUUGGCUCCGCUCCACCCGGCUUACAGGAUUCUGGAGCUCACCUGCUCAAUACAGGCAUUUUCAGUCAGGUAUAGGGUCACUUCCUCCAUGCAAGGUAAAGUAUACGUCAAAAUGCGACGUUCUGUUAGGAGGACGGGUUGCGGUGGUGGCGAGGCAACAUGGUAGCCUAGAGCAGCUGGUCUCAGAGCCCGGACAACUGAUUCACCUUCCCAGUACUCUCCAAAAUAGAAGAGACGACGAUCAAGGGGGGAAACAAUACUAGUGCCAACAUAGCGAGCGUGGGUCUGGCUCAGAGGUAAGGAUACUGAGCCAACUUCCGCCCCAAACAAGUUAUCGCGUUACUGCAUUGCUCAGGCCACAGAUAACGUAAUAUAAUUAGUUAAGAGGUGAUAUUCAAUAAUUGAAAAUAAAUUGGUAUGGGUAUUAAACCUGGGAAGAAGAAUAUAUACGUUACCUCAAGUGAGAAAAUAACGUCUUUAAAAAAUAUUUGAACUUAUGUUUUCCUGCUGAAGAUCUAUCUAUGUGAAUUCUUAUUGAACUAAUCAGUGAGCUGUUGAUGAUGAUAACCAGCAAAUAAGAGACUGAUGAGUAGAACCAACUGAUGAUUAAGAACGCAUUAAUGAGUUACAGGUGUUCUGUUUAGCUCUCUUCUUCAACAGAUAUUUUCCAAGUUUCUGUUAGUAACACAUCUUUCUCUCCCAAUCUGUCAGUAGCCAGCUGUGUAAACUGGCGGUUGAUAGACGAGUCGAACCACACCAAUUUCUCUUGUUUAACAAUGUUUUAACAAUUCGCCUGAACGUGUUAUUGGUCUCGCACACAAAUAGGGGACUCAGAAAGCCGUCUGGUGGAAGCAAUGAUGGCUACACAAAAACAUAUAGGAGUAUCGUGAGCAAACAUACUCGAUAUUAAACUUACGGAACCGUCUGCUGGUGUAAAUGUAAAUAAUAAAAGGAGGAGUAUCCUGGACCCCUCCCCCUUUU